UACGGGGGGUGCAAGCGUUAAUCGGAAUCACUGGGCGUAAAGGGUGCGUAGGCGGUACGUUAGGUCUGUCGUGAAAUCCCCGGGCUCAACCUGGGAAUGGCGGUAGAAACCGGCGCACUAGAGUAUGGGAGAGGGUGGUGGAAUUCCAGGUGUAGCGGUGAAAUGCGUAGAGAUCUGGAGGAACAUCAGUGGCGAAGGCGGCCACCUGGCCCAAUACUGACGCUGAGGCACGAAAGCGUGGGGAGCAAACAGGGUUAGAUACCCUGGUAGUCCACGCCCUAAACGAUGAAUACUAGAUGUUUGGUACCUAGCGUACUGAGUGUCGUAGCUAACGCGAUAAGUAUUCCGCCUGGGAAGUACGGCCGCAAGGUUAAAACUCAAAGGAAUUGACGGGGGCCCGCACAAGCGGUGGAGCAUGUGGUUUAAUUCGAUGCAACGCGAAGAACCUUACCUGGGCUUGACAUGUCCGGAAUUCUGCAGAGGUGCGGGAGUGCCCUUCGGGGAAUCGGAACACAGGUGCUGCAUGGCUGUCGUCAGCUCGUGUCGUGAGAUGUUGGGUUAAGUCCCGCAACGAGCGCAACCCUUGUCCUUAGUUGCCAGCGGUUCGGCCGGGCACUCUAGGGAGACUGCCGGUGACAAACCGGAGGAAGGUGGGGAUGACGUCAAGUCCUCAUGGCCUUUAUGUCCAGGGCUACACACGUGCUACAAUGGCGCGUACAGAGGGAAGCCAAGCCGCGAGGUGGAGCAGACCCCAGAAAGCGCGUCGUAGUUCGGAUUGCAGUCUGCAACUCGACUGCAUGAAGUCGGAAUCGCUAGUAAUCGCGGAUCAGCAUGCCGCGGUGAAUACGUUCCCAGGGCCU
rnacentral:rRNA from 1 species